GUCGUGACGUAUGACGGGAAGGGGGAGGGGCCCACGAUACAGUGGUUUUUUAUUUAUUUCUUUGUUUCACGUUCAGAAAGCAACAAUGCUGUAUAUUUGCAGAAAUGUCCAUAUCUGAUCGUUCGCCUGACAUUUUCGUUAUAAUUACCGGACUUGUAUCAGAACCGAAUCCACAGGAGGGAGGAUGAAGCGGCGCAAUGCGGACUGCAGCAAGCUCCGACGCCCGUUAAAACGGAACCGAAUCACCGAGGGUAUAUAUAGCAGUACGUUCCUGUACCUGAAGUUUCUGGUGGUGUGGGUGCUGGUGCUGCUGGCAGACUUUGUGUUGGAGUUCAGGUUUGAGUACCUGUGGCCCUUCUGGCUCUUCAUACGCAGUGUAUAUGACUCGUUCAGAUACCAGGGGCUGGCGUUCUCAGUGUUCUUUGUGUGUGUGGCAUUUACGUCUGACAUCAUCUGCCUCCUCUUUAUCCCUGUCCAAUGGCUGUUCUUCGCUGCCAGCACCUACGUCUGGGUCCAGUACGUCUGGCACACAGAGAGAGGAGUGUGCCUGCCCACCGUAUCGCUAUGGAUACUGUUUGUUUACAUGGAAGCUGCCAUCCGCUUCAAGGACCUGAAGAACUUCCACGUGGACCUGUGUCGGCCCUUCGCAGCUCACUGUAUUGGCUACCCCGUGGUGACUCUGGGCUUUGGCUUUAAGAGCUACGUCAGCUACAGGAUGAGACUGAGGAAACAGAAGGAAGUGCAGAAGGAGAAUGAGUUCUACAUGCAGCUCCUACAGCAGGCUCUGCCCCCAGAGCAACAGAUGCUACAGAGACAGGAGAGAGAGGCAGAGGAGGCGGCCAUGGCUAAAGGCGUGUCAUCAGAGGUGGACCUAGCAUCUCCGGUCUCCCAAAACGGGGCUACUCCCGGCAAGAAGAGCUCCGUUAACUCUUCUGUCCCCUUACCGGAACUGGAGUACCGGGAGAAAGGGAGAGACGGGAACAGCAAGGAACGGGAGGGCAAACUACAACAACAACAACAACAACAACACACAAUAGGAAUCAACAACAACAGUAUCCUCCACACACUGGACUCUACAUUACAGGAGACAGAGUAUAUGGAGAACAUGGGGGGGAAGAGACUGAAUAACGACCUCGGAGGAGGAGAGAGCACACACACUCCCAAAGAGGAGGUGGGGGGAACAGGAGGAGGAGGAGGAGGAGGAGGAGAGAGCACACACACUCCCAAAGAGGAGGUGGGGGGAACAGGAGGAGGAGGAGGAGGAGGAGGAGGGAAGAACUACAAAAACGCCAGCGGAGGCGGUGGGGCCACCAACUCCUCACCUCGGAAUCACAGCUCCACCAAUGGGAGCGUGCCGUCGUCUGGCUCGUCCAAUAGGAACGAGAAGAAGCAGAAGUCGGCGGGGAAAGGAGCAGCCAAUCAGAAGGAUCCCGUGGAGAACUGCAUUCCCAACAAUCAACUGGGAAAGCCGGACGCUCUCGUGCGGUUGGAGCAGGAUGUGAAACGGCUGAAGGCGGACCUGCAGGCGAGCCGUCAGUUGGAGUCAGAUUUACGUUCUCACCUCUCCUCCCUGACCAGCCAGGACAGGAGUCUGCGCUCAGAGCUGGGCCAGCUGCGACAAGACAACGAGAUGCUGCAGAACAAGCUGUACAGUGCUGUCCAGGCCAAGCAGAAGGACAAGCAGACCAUCUCCCAGCUAGAGAAGAGGCUGAAGGCAGAGCAGGAGGCCCGGGCGCUGGUGGAGAAACAGCUGGCUGACGAGAGGAAGAGGAAGAAGGUGGAGGAAGCCACCGCAGCCCGGGCUGUAGCUCUAGCCGUAGCCUCCAGGGGUGAGUGUACUGACUCCCUGCGUGGUCGGAUCAGAGAGUUGGAGACGGAGUGUAAGAAACUCAGCAUCGACAUGAAACUCAAAGAAGAGCACAUUAGAGAGCUGGAGGGGAAAUGCCAGGAGCUACGUAAGUACAAGGAGAAUGAGAAGGACAUGGAGGUGUUGAUGUCGGCGCUGUCGGCCAUGCAGGAUAAAACCCAGCACCUGGAGAACAGCCUGUCUGCUGAGACCAGGAUCAAACUAGACCUCUUCUCUGCCCUGGGGGACGCCAAGAGACAGCUGGAGAUUGCGCAAGGUCAGAUCCACCAGAGAGACCAGGAGAUAGCAGAGUUGAAACGGAAGAUAGCGGAGGUGAUGGCGGUGAUGCCCAGUAUCUCCUACAGCAACGACAGCAGCAGCCUCAGCCCGGUUACGCCACACUACUCCUCCAAGUUCAUGGACAAUAGUCCCUCUUCCCUGGAUCCCAACGCUUCUGUCUACCAGCCACUCAAAAAGUGACAAUGACACACACAUUAAUACACACUAACGCACACACACACACACACACACACACUUACAAGAAUACAGAUUUACAAAAUACGGCCUACAUAGUCACAUCCACUCAUACAUACAAAGACACAAACUCUUCGGAAGCGAUUGGAAAUGAUCUCGGCGCUGUCUAAGACGAUCUUCUCCAAAGUGUUUUGGUUGUGUUUUGGUUGUGUUUUGGGAACCAGUUGCGGUCGGAGUCUCAGCCCCGUCGUUCUGUUAUUCUCUGUUUGUUCCCACGGUGAUGCCUUAGUGGGAACAGCUGGAGAGGUAAAACUACACGAGGGAAGAUGUUUAUGUUUUGUGAUUGAGCCACUCUGAUUUGAACCGGUAAGAGAGACGUAAAGGGACACCGGAUUGACUGUAUCCUGAAUGGCGCCCUAUUCCCUACAGCCCAUGAGGAAUGUGCUGAGGGGGGAGAGAGACCGAUGAGGACUGACUGGUUUAGUUGGUAUAAAUGUCUAGAAAGACCCAUCGUCUUGUUCUCUGUCUCUCAGUGCUUCAUGUUCUCUCUCUCUCUCUGUCAGUGCUUCAUGUUCUCUCUCUGUCAGUGCUUCAUGUUCUCUCUCUCUCAGUGCUUCAUGUUCUCUCUCUCAGUGCUUCAUGUUCUCUCUCUCAGUGCUUCAUGUUCUCUCUCUCAGUGCUUCAUGUUCUCUCUGUCUCUCAGUGCUUCAUGUUCUCUCUGUCUCUCAGUGCUUCAUGUUCUCUCUGUCUCUCAGUGCUGCAUGUUCUCUCUGUCUCUCAGUGCUUCAUGUUCUCUCUGUCAGUGCUUCAUGUUCUCUCUCUCGCUGUCAGUGCUUCAUGUUCUCUCUCUCUCUCAGUGCUUCAUGUUCUCUCUCUAAGUCUGUCAGUGCUUCAUGUUCUCUCUCUCUCAGUGCUUCAUGUUCUCUCUCUGUCUCUCAGUGCUUCAUGUUCUCUCUCUCUCUGUCAGUGCUUCAUGUUCUCUCUCUCUGUCAGUGCUUCAUGUUCUCUCUCACAGUGCUUCAUGGUCUCUCUCUCUCUGUCAGUGCUUCAUGUUCUCUCUCUAUCAGUGCUUCAUGUUCUCUCUGUCUCUCAGUGCUUCAUGUUCUCUCUCUCUCUGUCAGUGCUUCAUGUUCUCUCUCUGUCAGUGCUUCAUGUUCUCUCUCUCUCUCUGUCAGUGCUUCAUGUUAUCUCUCUCUGUCUGUCAGUGCUUCAUGUUCUCUCUCUCUCAGUGCUUCAUGUUCUCUCUCUCUCUCUCAGUGCUUCAUGUUCUCUCUCUCUCUCUCAGUGCUUCAUGUUCUCUCUCUCUCUCUCAGUGCUUCAUGUUCUCUCUGUCUCUCAGUGCUUCAUGUUCUCUCUGUCUCUCAGUGCUUCAUGUUCUCUCUCUCUGUCAGUGCUUCAUGUUCUCGCUCUCUCUGUCAGUGCUUCAUGUUCUCGCUCUCUCUGUCAGUGCUUCAUGUUCUCGCUCUCUCUGUCAGUGCUUCAUGUUCUCGCUCUCUCUUAGUGCUUCAUGUUCUCUCUCUCUCUUAGUGCUUCAUGUUCUCUCUCUCUCAGUGCUUCAUGUUCUCUCUCUAAGUCUGUCAGUGCUUCAUGUUCUCUCUCUCUCAGUGCUUCAUGCUCUCUCUCUCUCUCAGUGCUUCAUGCUCUCUCUCUCUCUCUCAGUGCUUCAUGCUCUCUCUCUCUCUCAGUGCUUCAUGCUCUCUCUCUCUCUCUCAGUGCUUCAUGCUCUCUCUCUCUCUCUCAGUGCUUCAUGUUAUCUCUCUCUCUGUCAGUGCUUCAUGUUCUCUCUCUCUCUGUCAGUGCUUCAUGUUCUCUCUCUCUCUGUCAGUGCUUCAUGUUCUCUCUCUCUCUGUCAGUGCUUCAUGUUCUCUCUCUCUCUGUCAGUGCUUCAUGUUCUCUCUCUCUCUGUCAGUGCUUCAUGUUCUCUCUCUCUCUGUCAGUGCUUCAUGUUCUCUCUCUCUGUCAGUGCUUCAUGUUCUCUCUCUGUCUCUCAGUGCUUCAUGUUCUCUCUCUCUGUCAGUGCUUCAUGUUCUCUCUCUCUGUCAGUGCUUCAUGUUCUCUCUCUGUCUCUCAGUGCUUCAUGUUCUCUCUCUCUGUCAGUGCUUCAUUCUCUCUCUCUGUCAGUGCUUCAUUCUCUCUCUCUGUCAGUGCUUCAUGUUCUCUCUCUCUCUCAGUGCUUCAUGUUCUCUCUCUCUCUCAGUGCUUCAUGUUCUCUCUCUCUCUCAGUGCUUCAUGUUCUCUCUCUCUCUCUCAGUGCUUCAUGUUCUCUCUCUCUCUCAGUGCUUCAUGUUCUCUCUCUCUCUCAGUGCUUCAUGUUCUCUCUCUCUCUCAGUGCUUCAUGUUCUCUCUCUAAGUCUCUCAGUGCUUCAUGUUCUCUCUCUCUCUCAGUGCUUCAUGUUCUCUCUCUCUGUCUCUCAGUGCUUCAUGUUCUCUCUCUCUGUCAGUGCUUCAUGUUCUCUCUCUCUGUCUGUCAGUGCUUCAUGUUCUUUCUCUCUGUCUCAGUGCUUCAUGUUCUCUCUCUCUCUCUCAGUGCUUCAUGUUCUCUCUCUCAGUGCUUCAUGUUCUCUCUGUCUGUCAGUGCUUCAUGUUCUCUCUCUCUCAGUGCUUCAUGUUCUCUCUCUCAGUGCUUCAUGUUCUCUCUCUCAGUGCUUCAUGUUCUUUCUCUGUCUGUCAGUGCUUCAUGUUCUCUCUGUCUGUCAGUGCUUCAUGUUCUCUCUCUCUCUCUCUCUCUCUCUCUCUCUCUCUCUCUCUCUUCUCUCUCUCUCUCAGUGCUUCAUGUUCUCUCUCUCUGUCUGUCAGUGCUUCAUGUUUUGUUCAGCAGGUUUUGUCUCAGCUUAACAUUAGUCUUUGUAUGAUGGGACUAUUACACUACUCUACAUGUUUUGCUUUUAAAUGCGAAGAAGCUGAAACAUUUGAAGUGGUAUCUUCUGUGAGUUUCAUUAUGAAUUGAAAAGUACAUGGUUGAUGUUUUGGUAUUAUUGCCAUUACUUAAAUAUGUGAUUUAGUUUUUUUUUUAAAGCAACACAUUUCAGUUUAGUUAUGACAAUAACAAUGGUAAUGUACAUUUCUCUAUACCAGUGGUCUUGGAAAGAUCACCAAUUUGUACAUCAACUCACAUUCACCCUUUUUACUCCAAACAAUAUCCGGGAUUAUCAAUUAACUCCAACACUCCGGUCAAGAAAUACAGAUCUUUAACAAUUGGAUUGCCAAUGGAGAUGACCUGGUACUGUCUAAAGGUUAAGAUAUGACCUGGUACUGUCUAAAGGUUAAGAGAUGACCUGGUACUGUCUAAAGGUUAAGAUAUGACCUGGUACUGUCUAAAGGUUAAGAGAUGACCUGGUACUGUCUAAAGGUUAAGAUAUGACCUGGUACUGUCUAAAGGUUAAGAGAUGACCUGGUACUGUCUAAAGGUUAAGAGAUGACCUGGUACUGUCUAAAGGUUAAGAGAUGACCUGGUACUGUCUAAAGGUUAAGAUAUGACCUGGUACUGUCUAAAGGUUAAGAGAUGACCUGGUACUGUCUAAAGGUUAAGAGAUGACCUGGUACUGUCUAAAGGUUAAGAUAUGACCUGGUACUGUCUAAAGGUUAAGAUAUGACCUGGUACUGUCUAAAGGUUAAGAGAUGUCAUCUGUUUGCUGCAAAUGCACUCAAACCUGUCUAUCCUUUUGGACCAAAUUAGAAUCCGUCGUUAGGCCAUAUUACUAAAAACCUACUGGAUUUAAUGAUGUCUAGGUAACUGAUGUUUGCCAGUUGUAAAUUUCACUGUGCCUUGCAAUUGUUUUUUUUGUUUUUUAAGUAGUGAGUAUAAUAGGUUACUUCCCCAAUCUAGAUAUAGGACCUGGGCUGUCUCAAUAGUGGAAGUGUGCUUCCUUUCAUUGUACCUUUCCUUCGUGAAGGAAAGGAGAUGAAAGAAGGAAGCCAGUGUAGUGGAUUGAGAUAUCUCCCAUGCAGCCCCAGUCUCCUUUAUAUUAAACCCAAUACACUUAGACACCGACCAGUGUUGUCUUAAGGAGGAAACUAAUUGAUUUGGUAUAUGAAUGAACCUGGUCUGCCAAACAACAGCCAAACAGCUGUUAAAUAUGCCUACCUGGUCAGGUCAAGAGGGUCAGUAGUAACUCCAGGCUCUUAUGUCCACUACUACGGUGGCCCAGAGUGGACAUCUAUUUGUUUACAACCAAGGUUGGGGGUAAAUUCUAUUUCAAUUCAGGAAGUAAAAAUUUGAAUUUCAGUAAGUCAAUGCUUUUUAAUGAGGAAACAAUUUGGAAUUGUAAUUUGGUUUUAACUUUCUGAUUUGAAAUGGAAUCGACCCCCCCCCCCCAACCCUGUUUACAACCAUGUACAUUAUUACAUACCGAUGAAUGUUCUAGUUUGUUCAGUUCAAAGUGCCGCGUUUUGGUGUUUCUCUUAAUGAUUCCCUCUCCAUUCAUUAGGUUGAUGUGUCUCUAGCCUGCUUUAGGUUUGGAUAACAGCAUCAGAGCUACACGUUGUUGUGUUCAUGUAUUUGACUUUUUUUUGGGGGGACAUUCGGUUCUGAUUUUAUUUCAUUUUUUUUUCUAGGUUGAUCAGAAAGCAAGGACAGUGAUGGUUGAAUUGACUCACUGCUGUUGUUAUUGAUUUGGUUGUAGCCACAUUCUCCCUCUUGCAUCGUGUGUUUACUCCACUCCUUCUAGCCCGGGUCCCAGAUCUGUUUGUGUUCUUCCUAACUCUCCAUCUAGCCCGGGUCCCAGAUCUGUUUGUGUUCUUCCUAACUCUCCUUCUAGCCCGGGUCCCAGAUCUGUUUGUGUUCUUCCUAACUCUCCUUCUAGCCCGGGUCCCAGAUCUGUUUGUGUUCUUCCUAACUCUCCUUCUAGCCCGGGUCCCAGAUCUGUUUGUGUUCUUCCUAACUCUCCUUCUAGCCCGGGUCCCAGAUCUGUUUGUGUUCUUCCUAACUCUCCUUCUAGCCCGGGUCCCAUAUCUGUUUGUGUUCUUCCCAACUCCCUAUGGAGUCGUCAUGCAAAACAAUUGGCUUGAAAGAACAAACGAAAAAAAUACAUUUUGAGUUGGCAAGAGCACAAACAGAUCUGGGACCAGGCUAAUCUCUUUCCAACUGGGAUGAUGAUGAUGAUGAUGGUGUGAAGUUUUGUAUUGGGGAAGUUACACCCUGCCCACUGGGCACACGCUUGUUGAAUCGACGUUGUUUCCAUGUCUUUUACGUUACGUUGAGCCAACGUGAAAUAGACGUUCAGUUCAGACAUCUGUGCAGUUUGAUGCCGUGGGGUUUUAUUGUUUUUGCUGUAGGGGAAAGUUGCCCCUAGAUACUGAUUCUGGGUCAGUUUUACGUUUCUCCGCUAUUGUUAUAAUUGGGAUUAGGGGAGCGGAAUCUGUUUCUGGGUCAGUACCUAGACAACUUGACCCCUGGCGUUUUCUCAUGUUUCCUACCUGGAAAGUAUUGGUGUGGAUCACAGUGACGGACUUGUGACCUGUUGUGACUGUUGUUUUAGUGGGAAAGUGUUUUUUUGUUUUCUCUCUAUCUCAAAGUGAUGAUGAUGAUGAUGAUGUCGGCUGAGUCCAAACUUCUCUCACUUUGGGGCCGUCACCUGGAAUAAACAAUAAAAAAAAAGAGUCUUGCAGGCGAUGAUGCUGAUGAUGCAA